rnacentral:rRNA from 1 species
UAGCUUGCUACUUGCUGACGACCGGCGCACGGGUGCGUAACGCGUAUAGAACCUACCUUUUACAGGAGAAUAGCCCAGAGAAAUUUGGAUUAAUGCUCCAUAGUAUUAUAAAAUGGCAUCAUUUAAUAAUUAAAGCUUCGGCGGUAAAAGAUGGCUAUGCGUUCUAUUAGCUAGAUGGUAAGGUAACGGCUUACCAUGGCAACGAUAGAUAGGGGUCCUGAGAGGGAGAUCCCCCACACUGGUACUGAGACACGGACCAGACUCCUACGGGAGGCAGCAGUGAGGAAUAUUGGACAAUGGAGGUAACUCUGAUCCAGCCAUGCCGCGUGCAGGAAGACGGCCCUAUGGGUUGUAAACUGCUUUUAUACAGGAAGAAACCUUUUCACGUGUGAAAAGCUGACGGUACUGUAAGAAUAAGCACCGGCUAACUCCGUGCCAGCAGCCGCGGUAAUACGGAGGGUGCAAGCGUUAUCCGGAAUCAUUGGGUUUAAAGGGUCCGUAGGCGGACUAAUAAGUCAGGGGUGAAAUACUACAGCUUAACUGUGGAACUGCCUUUGAUACUGUUAGUCUUGAAUUAUAUGGAAGUAGAUAGAAUGUGUAGUGUAGCGGUGAAAUGCUUAGAGAUUACACAGAAUACCGAUUGCGAAGGCAGUCUACUACGUAUAUAUUGACGCUAAUGGACGAAAGCGUGGGGAGCGAACAGGAUUAGAUACCCUGGUAGUCCACGCCGUAAACGAUGGACACUAGUUGUUGGAUUUAUUCAGUGACUAAGCGAAAGUGAUAAGUGUCCCACCUGGGGAGUACGAACGCAAGUUUGAAACUCAAAGGAAUUGACGGGGGCCC